CAGACCUCCAGGCGGCCCAGACCAGUGCACACGUGGAGAGGGCGACCAGGCUGAAUGGAAAGAAACAACACAGAUGUGAGUCCUACAUGAGAGAACAUCCUCAGUUCAAUGGCAAGGCAACUGUAUGCUUACCUGGAGAAAUAUCCUGGGCCUGAGCCUGGGCACAACCCAAUCCACUCUCUCCCGUUGAAGGCUGAUGUCCCUCUCAGCAUCCCCAGACUGGAGAACUGUGGGAUGGAACGUAUUGCUCCGCAUUUUACUGAUGGGAUAGAUCCGCUUAAGAUGUACCCCUUUCUUUCAAAGUUGUUGCUGAGGAGGGACGAUGAUCAUCGGCUUAAAUCAUGAGACACCGAAGCUCAGGAUAAGACAUUUCCAAUGUUAUCUUACUCUACACUGGUUUGGGGUAUCCAUUUAAACAAAGCGGAACAAAAGCAGGGCAAACGUUUCCAAGCGCCUUGUUCUUGAUGAUAAUUUGUUAUUUCAUGCAAAGACACGGUUGUCCUCAAAGUUACAAUCUGAUUAGGUCAAACAGAGUUACAUAUUCUUCUGUGGUCCAAAAGGCUAGAAACUAAUUAUUCCCUUAUUCAACCGUAUGGCUCCACCCCCGUAAAACAGUGAUUUGUCUGAUCUACUCUGAUGUAAAUUUGUGUGAACAUUCAAGCUGAGAAUCUGCAAAUACCCAUUUCAUCAAUCUGUCCACCAAAGGUCACAUUUUGUAAUAAUGUCCACUAACAUUAACGUGCUGAUCACUUGACUUCACUUAAGGAUCCACCUGAUUGAUUCUGAUGGGGGACACUGAGGAGGGAAAUGGGACUGUGCGGUUGGUAGUUGAAUGAUUUCUUGGAAACAGAUAUGAUUUGGCCUCUAUAUAUAGUCUGAACAGGCUGAGCAGCGCAACCUGGACUGGGUCAGCUGGUUUCACAAUCCCCAAAUGAGAGCCGCGUUGCCAUGCUUCCUGGCUGAUUAAAUAAAUUACUGAAUCCUU